UACGGAAGGCAGCAGUGGGGAAUAUUGCACAAUGGGCGCAAGCCUGAUGCAGCCAUGCCGCGUGUAUGAAGAAGGCCCUUCGGGUUGUAAAGUACUUUUCAGUCGUGAGGAAGGUGUUAAGGUUAAUAACCUUAGCAAUUGACGUUAGCGACAGAAGAAGCACCGGCUAACUCCGUGCCAGCAGCCGCGGUAAUACGGAGGGUGCGAGCGUUAAUCGGAAUUACUGGGCGUAAAGGGCACGCAGGCGGUUAAUUAAGUUGGAUGUGAAAUCCCCGGGCUUAACCUGGGAAUGGCAUUCAAGACUGGUUAGCUAGAGUCUUGUAGAGGGGGUAGAAUUCCAUGUGUAGCGGUGAAAUGCGUAGAGGAUGUGGAGGAAUACCGGUGGCGAAGGCGGCCCCUGGACAAGACUGACGCUCAUGUGCGAAAGCGUGGGGAGCAACGAGGAGUAGAGU
rnacentral:rRNA from 1 species